UACAGAGGUCUCAAGCGUUGUUCGGAUUUAUUGGGCGUAAAGGGUGCGUAGGCGGCGCUGUAAGUCGGGUGUGAAAUUUCGGAGCUUAACUCCGAAACUGCAUUCGAUACUGCGGUGCUUGAGGACUGGAGAGGAGACUGGAAUUCAUGGUGUAGCAGUGAAAUGCGUAGAGAUCAUGAGGAAGACCAGUGGCGAAGGCGGGUCUCUGGACAGUUCCUGACACUGAGGCACGAAGGCCAGGGGAGCAAACGGG
rnacentral:rRNA from 1 species